rnacentral:rRNA from 1 species
UCUAUCAUCAAACCACCCUGAUGCACCCAGAAGCUAAGCAAGGUCAGGCCUGGUUCAUACUUGGAUGGGAGAAACCACCCAGAGGUCAGAGCAGAAGACAGAU